rnacentral:rRNA from 1 species
AACGUAGGUGGCAAGCGUUAUCCGGAUUUAUUGGGCGUAAAGGGAACGCAGGCGGUCUUUUAAGUCUGAUGUGAAAGCCUUCGGCUUAACCGGAGUAGUGCAUUGGAAACUGGGAGACUUGAGUGCAGAAGAGAAGAGUGGAACUCCAUGUGUAGCGGUGAAAUGCGUAGAUAUAUGGAAGAACACCAGUGGCGAAAGCGGCUCUCUGGUCUGUAGCUGACGCUGAGGUUCGAAAGCGUGGGUAGCAAACAGG